CCUACGGGUGGCAGCAGUGAGGAAUAUUGGUCAAUGGGCGCAAGCCUGAACCAGCCAAGUAGCGUGAGGGAUGAAGGUCCUAUGGAUCGUAAACUUCUUUUAUAAGGGAAUAAAGUGCAGUACGUGUACUGCUUUGCAUGUACCUUAUGAAUAAGGAUCGGCUAACUCCGUGCCAGCAGCCGCGGUAAUACGGAGGAGCCGAGCGUUAUCCGGAUUUAUUGGGUUUAAAGGGUGCGUAGGCGGGCUGUUAAGUCAGCGGUGAAAGUUUGUGGCUCAACCGUAAAAUUGCCGUUGAUACUGGGAGGCUUGAGUAUGUUAGAGGCAGGCGGAAUGCGUGGUGUAGCAGUGAAAUGCUUAGAUAUCACGCAGAACCCCGAUUGCGAAGGCAGCCUGCCAGACUGUGACUGACGCUGAUGCACGAAAGCGUGGGGAUCAAACAGGAUUAGAUACCCUAGUAGUC
rnacentral:rRNA from 1 species